AUUGAACGCUAGCGGGAUGCCUUACACAUGCAAGUCGAACGGAGUGGCGAACGGGUGAGUAAUGUAUCGGAACGUGCCCAGUAGCGGGGGAUAACUACGCGAAAGCGUAGCUAAUACCGCAUACUAUUGGAGCGGCCGAGAUCGGCUUAGCUAGAUGGUGGGGUAACGGGUCACCAAGGCGAAGAUCCGUAGCUGGUUCGAGAGGAGGACCAGCCACACUGGAACUGAGACAGGGACCAGACUCCUACGGGAGGCAGCAGUGGGGAAUUUUGGACAAUGGGGGAAACCCUGAUCCAGCCAUGCCGCGUGAGCGAUGAAGGCCUGCGGGUUGUAAAACACUUUUGGCAGGAAAGCGGUACCUGAAGAAUAAGCACCGGCUAACUACGUGCCAGCAGCCGCGGUAAUUC
rnacentral:rRNA from 1 species